rnacentral:rRNA from 1 species
CACGUAGUUAGCCGGUGCUUAUUCUUACGGUACCGUCAUCAGCCCCAGGUAUUAACCAGAGCCUUUUCGUUCCGUACAAAAGCAGUUUACAACCCGAAGGCCUUCAUCCUGCACGCGGCAUUGCUGGAUCAGGCUUGCGCCCAUUGUCCAAAAUUCCCCACUGCUGCCUCCCGUAGGAGUCUGGACCGUGUCUCAGUUCCAGUGUGGCUGGUCGUCCUCUCAGACCAGCUACAGAUCGCAGGCUUGGUAGGCCUUUACCCCACCAACUACCUAAUCUGAUAUCGGCCGCUCCAAUCGCGCGAGGUCUUGCGAUCCCCCGCUUUCAUCCAUAGAUCGUAUGCGGUAUUAGCACAGCUUUCGCUGCGUUAUCCCCCACGACUGGGCACGUUCCGAUAUAUUACUCACCCGUUCGCCACUCGCCACCAGGAUUGCUCCCGUGCUGCCGUUCGACUUGCAUGUGUAAGGCAUGCCGCCAGCGUUCAAU